rnacentral:snRNA from 1 species
UUGCUUCAGCAGCACAUAUACUUACAGAGAACUCUUUGCCCCUGUGCUAGGAUGACAUAUAAAUUUGUGAAGGGUUUCACAUUUUU